UACGUAGGGGGCAAGCGUUGUCCGGAUUUAUUGGGCGUAAAGAGCGUGUAGGCGGCUUUGCAAGUCCGUUGUGAAAACUCGAGGCUCAACCUCGAGACGCCGGUGGAAACUGCAAAGCUAGAGUCCGGAAGAGGAGAGUGGAAUUCCUGGUGUAGCGGUGAAAUGCGCAGAUAUCAGGAGGAACACCGGUGGCGAAGGCGGGUCUCUGGGCCGGUAUUGACGCUGAGGCGCGAAAGCUAGGGGAGCGAACGGG
rnacentral:rRNA from 1 species